UACGUAGGGUGCGAGCGUUGUCCGGAAUUAUUGGGCGUAAAGGGCUCGUAGGCGGUCUGUCACGUCGGGAGUGAAAACUCAGGGCUUAACCCUGAGCCUGCUUCCGAUACGGGCUGACUAGAGGUAUGCAGGGGGAGAACGGAAUUCCUGGUGUAGCGGUGAAAUGCGCAGAUAUCAGGAAGAACACCAAUGGCGAAGGCAGCUCUCUGGGACGGUACUGACGCUGAGACGCGAAAGCGUGGGGAGCGAACAGG
rnacentral:rRNA from 1 species